CUCCGCGCCCGCGAAGGCCCGAGAGCAGCCCCGAGCAGGCUGCGCGCCUGCGGGGCCCCGGGCAGCAACCUGCUGCGGCCGGCGAGCCGCGCAAACAAAGCCUGCGAUUUUCCCUCCAGUUAGAACCCCAUCUAAUAUCAGGGGGCAAAACCGAAGCCCAUCUGCCAGGGCAGCAGGGCCUUCUUCACACAUGUGUGCAUAGGAAUGGCUUGACAGAAGUGGAGAGUGACCCAACCCAGCACAUCUUUUUCACCAGGCCAGGCAGAUGCAGAAAGGAGCUGUGUGGAAGCAACAACUCACGUGUGUUUAAAAACGCUCCCAAGCAUCCCAGGCAGUUUGGAGAGCGGUAGGGAGUGUCAGCGGCACGAGUCAGACAGCUGGGGGUACACGAGUGGGGAAGAAUUAACUUUGCCCUAGCUUUCAGCACUGGGUUGUCUGUCUGCCUGUGUGAAGAGAAAUGUGACCACACCAGCAGCAGUUUGGGAACACUGUAACGCUUGGUAUUAUAGACGAGGCAAACAUGGUGCCAGCUCAGAGCAUGACAGGUCAGGUGUCUCUUGAGUGCCCAAAAGAACAGCACAGGCCGAAAGUCAGACCAGUUGCUUUAUAUGUAUGAGACCCAGGAUCAUACAUCAAGCAACUAGUUGUACUAUUGAUUUUAAGUUGGCUGCUGGUGGUCCACAACAACCAAGGGUACAAAGUGAGGAAUUUUAUCCCUCCCUUGUUUUCCUAGUACAUCAAGGAGUACAGUGAGCUGGUAGAUAGAGUGCACAGAACACCAAGUAGAGGACUGAGAUUUGAAACUGGGGUAUUCCUGGCCUUUUUCUUAAAGAAUUGAAUAAAUGUGUUCUGACAAAACCUUAUGGAAUAGAUGGGCAUAAAUCUAAAAGCAGCACAAUCUGGAUUUAUUCCUACCAUGGUAAAAAGCCCUGACUGAGCCACAGUGAAGGUUCUUCUUUUUACAUGACUCCCGCCUGGUGCAAAGACUGUGAAAUGAUCCUUUCCUGCUUUCUGUGGUGGUGUCCCAAUCUCUGCUACAGACAAGAAUAUUUAACCACCUGUAAACCACCAGGGAAAGCAAAGCUGAUGCCCACGGCCAGAAGACAAACAUCAGUCUGACGUAUAAGUUGCUCCACCAAAGAAGAGUGUUUUGCAUCAUUCUAUCUGCA